rnacentral:rRNA from 1 species
ACAAGGCCCAGACUCCUACGCCAGGCAGCAGUGCCGAAUUUUAAACAAUGGGGGCAAUUCUGAUCCAGCGGUGCCGCGUGUGUGAAGAAGGUUUUCGGAUUGUAAAGCACUUUCGGCAAGGACGAUGAUGACGCUACCCGCAGUUGAAGCCCCGGCUAACUUCGUGCCAGCAGCCGCGGUGAUACGAAGGGGGCUAGCGUUGCUCUUGGUGACUGGGCGUAAAGGGCGUGUAGGCGGUUUGUACAGUCAGAUGUGGCAUCCCCGGGCUUAACCUGGGAGCUGCAUUUGAUACGUGCAGACUAGGGUAUGAGAAAGGGUUGUGGAAUUCUCAGUGUAGAGGUGAAAUUCGUAGAUUUGGGAAGAACACCGGUGGCGAAGGCGGCAACCUGGCUCAUUACUGACGCUGAGGCGCGAAGGCGUAACUGG